rnacentral:lncRNA from 1 species
CCCCCCUCUCCACCCAAUUCAGAUUCUCCUAGUUCUCACCACCCCGGCUCCCCAACCCCGGGGCUCCUCCGCCCCUCUAGGACGGGCCCCGCCCCCCAUCUGUCUCCCUAGCCGACGAGCUGGGCGCGGGAGGGGGCGGGGGGCGGCCUCAGCCCUCUUUCGACCACAGCCACUUGGAACACUUGAGGGUGUGUGUGUGUGUGUUGGGGGGGGGGUGCGGGUGUGUGUGUCAGUCUACCUCCUCUUCCUAUUAGGGCUGCGGUGGAGGGGGUGAAGGAGCGAGAAAAAGAAAGGCCGAGUCGCACGGAGCCAGGGGGGUAUAGUCCCAUUUUUAUUCACCUUGGGACACACACACACACACACACACACACACACACACACGCAGGCACACCAGCGUUCCUCAAACCUAGAGCCCGAAGCCAGACUUGCCCCCCUGUUGAAGUCUCCUUUCACCCUAAGGCAAGUUUCCGGAAUGUGGGUCCCGGUGAUGUAAAGGGUGGCAUUGUCCGGAAGACGACGAAGAGAGAGGAAGCUUUAGGCAGGUUGGAGCAGCGUUGAGAACAGCUCACUCCUCUGGUCUUUCCUUCGAGUUUUUCGAUGGUAAUCUAGGGCAGCCGGGUCCCGGCGUUAAAUGCAAAAUAGGAAAACAGGACACGGCCGAGUCACAGGCCUGGUCAUAUUAACGCCCUAGGUCAGGGGGAGAGAAUAAUGAAUAGGCGCGGAGCUCAGUUCGUGGAAGGGAACCUAAUUAACCUUGAGAGAGUGAAAGAAAGUCAGAGAUCGUGCCUGGGAUCCUCUGUUUAGGAUGCUUAUAUUUACGUGAAUGUGAGUGUGUGCGGGUGGGGGAGGAGAGAGGGAGUAGCCUGCUUUGUGCAUUAUAGGGAUGAUUGUCCCUUAACCCUGGAAAAGAGCUGGAGUUUGUGCCACUCAGGACCAUCCCGCCACGCACACGGUCCCGCGGAGAAGUCCGCGGUGGGGCCCCCACCCCCGAGCUCUGCCCGGAGGUUCUGCGUCCCGGCCCCGGCCUGCCUGCGGGAUGAGCCCCUGGGUCGGGAGCAGGGGCUGCGGCGUCCCCGCGCCCCGGCCUGACCCCGGGAGGGACCGCUGGCGAGCCGAGCGGGAGUGGGGGCGGGGGCGUUCCCCGCCUCGGAGCCGCUGAGCUCCUAGGCAGGUCCUGGCUGCGAUCCGGUGGAGGAAGACGAGGGCGAGAAGCGGGAGGCCGGGCCAUUGUCCAGG